AGUGAACGCUGGCGGUAGGCCUAACACAUGCAAGUCGAACGGCAGCACAGUAAGAGCUUGCUCUUACGGGUGGCGAGUGGCGGACGGGUGAGGAAUACAUCGGAAUCUACUUUUUCGUGGGGGAUAACGUAGGGAAACUUACGCUAAUACCGCAUACGACCUACGGGUGAAAGCAGGGGAUCUUCGGACCUUGCGCGAUUGAAUGAGCCGAUGUCGGAUUAGCUAGUUGGCGGGGUAAAGGCCCACCAAGGCGACGAUCCGUAGCUGGUCUGAGAGGAUGAUCAGCCACACGAGAACUGAGACACGGUCCAGAGUCCUGCGGGAGGCAGCAGUGGGGAAUAUUAGACAGUGGGCGCAAGCCUGAUCCAGCCAUACCGCGUGGGUGAAGAAGGCCUUCGGGUUGUAAAGCCCUUUUGUUGGGAAAGAAAAGCAGCAGGUUAAUACCCCGCUGUUCUGACGGUACCCAAAGAAUAAGCACCGGCUAACUUCGUG
rnacentral:rRNA from 1 species